rnacentral:rRNA from 1 species
AGCGGAGGAAAAGAAACUAACAAGGAUUCCCCUAGUAACGGCGAGUGAACCGGGAAGAGCUCAAAUUUGAAAUCUGGCGUGCUCAGUGCGUCCGAGUUGUAAUCUAUAGAGUCGUUUUCCGUGCCGGACUGUGUCCAAGUCCCUUGGAACAGGGUAUCAAAGAGGGUGAUAAUCCCGUACUUGACACAAUGACCGGUGCUCUGUGAUACGUCUUCUACGAGUCGAGUUGUUUGGGAAUGCAGCUCAAAAUGGGUGGUGAGUUCCAUCUAAAGCUAAAUAUUGGCGAGAGACCGAUAGCGAACAAGUACCGUGAGGGAAAGAUGAAAAGCACUUUGGAAAGAGAGUUAAACAGUACGUGAAAUUGUUAAAAGGGAAACGAUUGAAGUCAGUCGUGACUGAGAGGCUCAGCCGGUUCUGCCGGUGUAUUCCCCUCAGUCGGGUCAACAUCAGUUUUGUUCGGUGGAUAAGGGCGGUUGGAAGGUGGCACCCUCGGGUGUGUUAUAGCCAACUGUCGCAUACAUCGGAUGAGACUGAGGAAUGCAGCUCGCCUUUAUGGCCGGGGUUCGCCCACGUUCGAGCUUAGGAUGUUGACAUAAUGGCUUUAAACGACCCGUCUUGAAACACGGGACCA